GACGAACGCUGGCGGCGUGCCUAAUACAUGCAAGUUGAGCGCUGAAGGUUGGUACUUGUACCGACUGGAUGAGCAGCGAACGGGUGAGUAACGCGUGGGGAAUCUGCCUUUGAGCGGGGGACAACAUUUGGAAACGAAUGCUAAUACCGCAUAAAAACUUUAAACACAAGUUUUAAGUUUGAAAGAUGCAAUUGCAUCACUCAAAGAUGUUCCCGCGUUGUAUUAGCUAGUUGGUGAGGUAAAGGCUCACCAAGGCGAUGAUACAUAGCCGACCUGAGAGGGUGAUCGGCCACAUUGGGACUGAGACACGGCCCAAACUCCUACGGGAGGCAGCAGUAGGGAAUCUUCGGCAAUGGACGAAAGUCUGACCGAGCAACGCCGCGUGAGUGAAGAAGGUUUUCGGAUCGUAAAACUCUGUUGGUAGAGAAGAACGUUGGUGAGAGUGGAAAGCUCAUCAAGUGACGGUAACUACCCAGAAAGGGACGGCUAACUACGUG
rnacentral:rRNA from 1 species